rnacentral:rRNA from 1 species
CAAUAGCGUAUAUUAAAGUUGUUGCGGUUAAAAAGCUCGUAGUUGGAUUUGUGGCGUACGGUGUGUUCCGGGCACUUGUUGUCUGAGUAACCUGCUGUUGCCAUCCUUGGGUGGAACCUGUGUGGCAUUAGGUUGUCGUGCAGGGGAUGCCCAUCAUUUACUGUGAAAAAAUUAGAGUGUUCAAAGCAGGCUUAUGCCGUUGAAUAUAUUAGCAUGGAAUAAUGAGAUAGGACUUUUUUGCUAUUUUGUUGGUUUGCGCAAGAAGGUAAUGAUUAAUAGGGACAGUUGGGGGUAUUCGUAUUCCAUUGUCAGAGGUGAAAUUCUUGGAUUUUUGGAAGACGAACUACUGCGAAAGCAUUUACCAAGGAUGUUUUCAUUAA